GGAUGCGCUAAUGCUUCUUCAACUGCCACAGACAAAGCUUUUGUUUAGAAAGAAGGCAACAAUAUGAACAUUUUAGUUAAAAAUACACAAUUAUAUUUUAGCUUUAAGUGAUAGCAAGCAUAUCAAGACUCUUCAGCAGAGCAUAAACUUUUUCCUGGAGGGAGUUUGUGAUCAUCAAGUGCAAAACAAUCCUAGUAGUUGAAUACAUAUCCAACUGAGUCACAAAAUAUUCAUUUUUAGUUAAAUGCCACUAAGUGAAUUAUGGAACUUGCAAAUGAUUUUGUAGGU
rnacentral:misc_RNA from 1 species